rnacentral:tRNA from 1 species
GCCCAGGUGGUGUAAUUGGUAGCCACGCCUGCCUUAGGAGCAGGUGCCGCAAGGCAUGGAGGUUCAAGUCCUCUCCUGGGCA